rnacentral:rRNA from 1 species
CCAAUAGCGUAUAUUAAAGUUGUUGCAGUUAAAAAGCUCGUAGUUGAAUUUCGGAAUCUGUCCGUUGGUCGGGCUUCGCUGUCCGUACUGGUGUGGUGGGUUCUUACCUUCUGAAUAACCAGCAUGCCAUUCACUUGGUGCGCUGGGGAAGCAGGACUAUUACCUUGAAAAAAUUAGAGUGCUCAAAGCAGGCUAGUGCCUGAAUACAUUAGCAUGGAAUAAUAAAAUAGGACGGCAUGGUUCUAUUUUGUUGGUUUCUAGGAUCACCGUAAUGAUUAAUAGGGAUAGUUGGGGGCAUUAGUAUUCAAUUGUCAGAGGUGAAAUUCUUGGAUUUAUUGAAGACUAACUUCUGCGAAAGCAUUUGCCAAGGAUGUUUUCAUUAAUCAAGAACGAAAGUUAGGGGAUCGAAGACGAUCAGAUACCGUCGUAGUCUUAACCAUAAACUAUGCCGACUAGGGAUCGGACGAUGUUAAUUUUUUAAUGACUCGUUCGGCGCCUUACG